UACGAAGGGGGCUAGCGUUGCUCGGAAUUACUGGGCGUAAAGCGCACGUAGGCGGCUUCUUAAGUCGGAGGUGAAAUCCUGGAGCUCAACUCCAGAACUGCCUUCGAUACUGGGAAGCUCGAGUCCGGGAGAGGUGAGUGGAACUGCGAGUGUAGAGGUGAAAUUCGUAGAUAUUCGCAAGAACACCAGUGGCGAAGGCGGCUCACUGGCCCGGUACUGACGCUGAGGUGCGAAAGCGUGUGGAGCAAACAGG
rnacentral:rRNA from 1 species